UACAGAGGUCUCAAGCGUUGUUCGGAUUCAUUGGGCGUAAAGGGUGUGUAGGUGGCGCGCUAAGUCGGGGUGUGAAAUUUCGGAGCUUAACGUCCGAAACUGCAUUCGAUACUGGCGUGCUUGAGGACUGGAGAGGAGACUGGAAUUCAUGGUGUAGCAGUGAAAUGCGUAGAGAUCAUGAGGAAGACCAGUGGCGAAGGCGGGUCUCUGGACAGUUCCUGACACUGAGACACGAAGGCCAGGGGAGCAAACGGG
rnacentral:rRNA from 1 species